GCUAGGUGGCUUGUGGACAGGAAACCUGGAAAGGGAAUAACAUUUGAAAUGUAAAUAAGAAAUACCCAAUUAAAAAAAAAGUAAAAGAUAGGGUUUAGCUGAAUUCACUGACAUUCCACAACUCCAAUGAGAAGCAACCCUCCUCUGGGUUUCUAAAGUCUUUUAGCUAGUAGCCAAGUACUCGGAGACCAGUGUGCAAACAGGGUAGUAAGGAUGUCAACUUGCUGUGGUACAGCUUAAGCUAUGAAGGCAAGAGCCAUGUUUAGCAGCCUACCAUGUACUAGGCAUGGUAUAAAUAGAUGGACUACAUACCAGAACACCCUAGCAGCUUUGCUAUUUGGGAACCUUAAUUUGAACAGUUAAAAAAACUACUCUUAAAAUCCUGCACUGACUCAACAAUAUUUGUUUACGUAUCUCAUCAUUUAACAAUGAACACGUAUGAUGUUUGAGGUAUUAUGACAGUUUCUGGGAAGCAACAGUUGUAUGAGAUGCCCCACGCCACUUGGAGGCAGACAGCAAUGUAUGUAGUGCAGAGGACAGGGAAGGAAGAUCAGCCAUCACCACACAGCAACCAACAGGACCAGGAAAAGUGCACACAGGGCACAGCUACUGCAGGUGAGCAGGUGUGGGAAGAGUCCUUUAGGAGAAGCAACAGCAUUGGGUUGUGAUGGAGGAGGGGCAAUCUGCCAGCUUCCCAAGGAAGGAAAUAAGAUUCAGCAGAGAGAAAGCUCCCUAUGCAGAGUCACGGAAGAGUGAAGUGGUACGUCAUCUUCAAAAGCCCCACGGAAAUGAGCAAGGCCAUCGUAAGCCUAGGGAAUAUUAUCUAAUUUUUUAGUGGAGAAAGUGCUUGUCACUACUCUUGAGUUUGUUCCUAAUGUAUGUGGUAAAACCUACUUGUAACCCAGGUAAAAGGAAGCUUUGAGAUCAUAAUCAUUGCCCGUUUGUGGGAAUUAUUUUAGGUAAGGAUAACUCUCGUAGUUAGGGAAGAGGAAUAAGUGUUAUAAAGGGAGAAAGAAUACUCAUGAAGAGCCUCAGUUAGAAACAAAUGCUUGUGACAAGAUUUGAUGAUUUCACUGGGUGGGGCUUGAGGUUUAGUAACAAUAAAAUAACAAUAAUAAUAAUAAUAAUAAUAAAUGAUUCAGGCUGUAUUGCUUACCAGGAAAGAGCAUGGAUAUGUUAAGAAAAAUAGCAAUUUGGGUAAAAGCUUAAAAAAUUAAAGACAUAUUUUAAAUUAAUUUGUAAAACUCCGUUUAGAUACAUCUUAUUUCUUGGUGAUCUAAGCCAAUGGUACAGUUUCUGUCUCUUUGUUAAUCCCAAUUAGGCAACUGCCCAUCUGCCCUUGAUAAGAACGUUCUCAGUAAUUUUCUUUGUCAUUGUUUUUUUUCACUGGUUUUGGAAAUAUAUUUAUUUGGUUGUAAAACUUGACCUAACCUAAACUUCCACCUGCUCCAAUAUGUUAACAACUACUCUGCAAGGAGCCAAGAAAUUGUGAGUUCUAAAGAUUUGGGAUAAAGGAUUAUGGACUGCAAGUCUUGUAGAAUAAAAGACUCAACUGGACUUCAGAUGACAUUCAUAUCUUGUUCUCUUAAAGGUGGCUAAGUAAAAGAAAAAAGGAUGUAAACUAAAUAGCAGGAUAUGAUGAUUUGUCUUAAAAUGGUCUUAGAGUCUCUGCCGGAACAACUGAAAAGCAUUCUUAGUUGAACAAAAUCUUUACAAAUACUAGUAAAAACCUGGACUUGCGAUGGUGCUCGUUAGGACAAUGCUUGUGAAGCACACACAAGACCCUUGGUUUGUUCUCCAGUGCCUCAAAGACAAGCAUACAAACAAAAAAGUCCUUAGUGCUACUCAGUAGCUGAGCAAAUUUCCCCUCUUCUUUUCUCAGAUUUCCUGAAAGGCCGUGCGUGCGUGCGUGCGUGCUUGCGUGCGCAUGUGUGCGUGUGUGUGAUCUUUACCAGGCUGGCCUCAAUCCUUUGGCAAUCUUCCUCUCUCAUCUUCCCAAGGGUUGGGAUGAGGAGGUAUAAACUAGAGACUUGAAAGUGCUGAGGAACUCUGCAAGCUCUCUAUCUUCCUGAUAAUCAGGUCUGGUCUGGGCUCUAUUUUCCAGACAAAUUUCAUCUUGUUUUCUUGUUCUACCAGUCUGGAUUUAUGUCUGAAAAUUUAUCCUUAGUAAUGGAGUCAUUGCUAGGAAGCAAUGUGGUCUCUAUUUUAUUCACACUCCACAUUAUGUUUCUAAAGGUCAAAGAAGUGUUGGGCUGGAACCCACUGGUUAGCCCUGUCUGUGGCAGGGUUUGCGGGAACCUGACAUCCUAAGCCUCUAGAGGGCAGUGUUGCUCUACCCCGGAGCGGCUACUGCUGUAUCUCCUGGACUGGUCUUUGCAGAUACUUUCCAAUACUUUCUUUCUAAGAAGCUUUGAGAACAGAGGCUUGGUUAAGUUUCAACUUUGAAUUAUGUAUAUUAAUAUGUUUUUAUAUUCGUAGCUUCUCCACCGAAACCUCAACGGAAACACAGUUACCUCCGAAAAGAGGAAAUUUCUGAACAGGGAAUCAAAUGGAGCAGCUUGACUUUGCCUCCAAUGCUCAGUGUGGUGUCAAGAAAGAGGAAAGAAAAAGAGACAAACCCAGAACCUUUGCGCAUUUUAUAGCACUUGAGUAAGUAUAGCAUCUCUGGCUUCACUUUAAGGUCCACUUACUCUACAGAGUGAAUUCCAGGACAGCCAGGGCUACAGAGAAACCCUGUCUUGCGCAACCAACCAACGGACCAACCGAAAAACCAAAGAAUAACAACAACAAGAAACCAACUCCAAAAGGCCAGUUGCUUUCCUGUCCCUGAAGAACAGUGACAGGGUUGGUAGAACCAUCUACAGCAGUGCCAUGUGGGAGGUAAGGAUACUUUUACACACCCCUUCUCCAGCAAGCCCUAGCUAGAUGUUAUAUAAAUGCAGAAGUCCAGGCUGCCUGCAGCUAUGGAAGCAUGUGUUACUGAUAGAAUAGAACCUUUGAGCUGGAGAGGGGAGAAAAUCCUAAAAACCUCGCUGGAUGUAAACAAGGCUCCGUUCUCCCACUUCAGACACAAGCAGCUGCAGACCUUGCGAAUGUAACUUGUGCCUAAUGUUGGCAGCAAUUCUACGGGUCUGAACGUCUUAAGACUGAUUAGACAUUAAGCCUAGGAGCGCUGGAAUAGAGCUUGGAGAGGAUCCAAUAAAAACUAGAAGGUAUGACUGCAGGAAAGUUAAUGGGAGGAUGUAGGAUACUAUGGUAGAAAGACCUAAGAUUUGACAGUAGACAAACUUUUCCAUAGUUUGGCUGUGAUGUGUAGGUAUUUACCAUUUAUACCUAAGUGGUUUGGGGUUUUUUGUUGUUUGUUGUUGGUUUUGUUUUGAGACAGGGCCUCUAUGUACCCCUUACUGGCCUGAAACUUGCUCUGCAGAUUAGGCUGGCCUGGGACCCACAGAGCUCUGCCUGCCUUUGUCUCCUUAGUGCUGGGUUUAAAGCUGUGAGCCAGCACUCUGAGCUGAGCAUAAAUUCUUCUUCUUCUUCUUUUUUUUUUUUCCGGAGCUGAGGACCGAACCCAGGGCCUUGCACUUGCUAGGCAAGCGCUCUACCACUGAGCUAAAUCCCCAACCUGAGCAUAAAUUCUUAAAGUGCUUGGAGCAACACCUAGACUAACACAUAUUUCAUCACUUACUAUUUUCUUUUUAACCCAUGUGUGGAAACAUGGACUACUGAUGACUGCAGGUAAAACACAACUUUGGGGUACAGCUGGUGGCUGGCAUUAAAAACAUACUUAUGAAUAACCUGCUUGAAGGGAAUGUUGAAUCGAAAUAUUGAACUCUUGACUAAUGGAAUAAUCGAUUGUCUGAAUUGAAACACGGUCCAGUAAAUGGCAGGAUCUCUAACUGGAUUUGAGCAUGGGGCUACUUGUUCUGUUGCAAGCACAGGAAAGGGAUUAUCUCUGUGUGCUCUGUUAUCUCACUGCCUCGUGAAGAGGCUAGAAUUGACACAGCUGUUACUAGAAGUUCUUACCACACCCCUGUAAAACAAAUGUUCAUGCUCUUAACUGAGUGCAGGUAUGAGUCUGUAUUCCUUGUUCCUUCUAGGCCACUAACUGGCCAUUCGUUGCAUGCAAGUUACUCAGUCCCUACUGGUUAAUAUCUGCAUUGCAAGCCUAUUUUAAAAGUUUGUUUGCUCCCCUAAUUCACAGCUUCAGCACUUCAGCUCUAAGAGAGAAAAGGUCCUCUUAGAGAUGUUCAAUAGAAGCAAAGCUUGAGAUAUCAGUAAAGAGGAUGAGAAGAAUUGAAGACAGAUCCGUUUCAGGCCAUCCAGUUAGACACAGUUCUUCCUCUGUUGCUGGGGAAACUGAGGUGGAGCCGGCAGGGACAGGAGCCCAGCCCUCUGAGUCGAUUCCAACAAGCUGCUGGGUUUGGGCAAACCAUGUUUUUCUGUACUGCUCGGCAGUCCUCCGAGGGCUCCUAAAGGUCCUGCCAUUUCACUCUCUGACUCAAACAUUGCUUCUAGGAAGUGCAGUUCUUUUAAAAACGUAGUCGCAUUUUUUAGAAAAGUGAUGGAUCUCAUGGGUUUUGCUGCAGUGGCAUCUAAAUUAAUCACAUUCCUGCUACCUGCGCCUGUGCUUUUCGCUCAUGCGAGCGUUUAAAGGGCCCGCUGCCAGUUUGCCUCCUACAAAAAGCGUUCCUGUUUACGCUUUUCAUCUGCUUUUAUAGGCUGUUGGUGAUGCCUUUAUAGACUUUCCAGUAAGCAGCCAGAGAAACGCAGGGAACUAUUUCCCUAAGGAUGGAAAAUUCACCUGACUGAGGCAGAAGAUUAAUUAACUUGCCGUACUACUGCUUGCUCCAAGCAAGAAGAAAAAAUAAAAGAAAAAACAAAUAAGCAAUAAAUAUGUCCCUGGCUUCCUGCGUGUAGGGGGAAAAUGCCUUUCCAAAUCUGACAGUCUGGCUCUUUAGCCCCGAGGCAAAAGGUCUGAUUAUGACUGUUGUCUCAACAUUAGCAUUAUAACCGCAACAUUAAGUACCAGAAAUUGAUCUAGCUACAGUACUUAACAUGAUGACCUUAGGAGUUUGUUGAUUUCAUGUUUCUAAAGGAUGCAAGAUAUUAUAUUAAGCAUGCUUUAAUUUCUUGUCUUUCAUUUCUUCACCAUCUCCUGCAUUCAGCAACAAUAGCCACCCAACCCUGAGACUGGUUAUUAAUAGCAGAAAGGACAUGGCGACAAGAACCAUGUUCCUACCAAACGCUGCCUGGGCUACAGUGUAUGCUUCCACUUUCUCUAUUCAUUGGUUAGGACCCACUUGGAGAAUUUUGCAGAUCUGACACUUUCAUUAGUCUCUCUCAGCUCUAGUUUUCAAGCUCAGCUCUACUUUGCAUAACAAAUUAAAAUUCACUUUCCAUACUAAA